UUAUGGAACAUUUCUGGGAUCUUUUAAUUCAGCUCAUAAAAAAUGGUACCAACACUUUAAUGUUUUGUUUAUAUUUCUGUUUAAGAGACCAUCAUAUUUCUCCCCCCAAAUAAUAACCUAAAACGUUCUACUUCCAUAUUAGUUCCUCCCUUCCACCACAACAGCAAGUCUUCAAAAAAGAAAGCAACAACAAAUUUGCAGAACCAUGAUUUAUUUUCUCUCGUUUCUAAACGGACUGCAUAUUAUGACGGACCACAACAAACAAUGAAUGUGUUUGCAGCAGGGAAAACGACAGGGCAUCUGACAAGAUGCACUGCAUAACGCCAAAAUAAUAUUUGCGUUUCUAUCUGACUUUCAACAGGAGACCUGUGAGUUUCCUACGAUACUAUGUACUGUUUGAUCAUUACAUCAUCAUUCAACUAAAAUCAAACUUAAUAUACACUUUUUAACUGAAAGUCAAAUAGGCUGAUUUUUUAAAAAUUUGAUUCCUUUUAGUAGCAGCUACAAUUUGACAGCAGCAGGUGGGAAUGGAAGUUGGAACUAACAUAAGUCGUGUGUGUAACCAACCUUUAUUUUGAGAAGCCAACCUUUAUUUUGAAAAACGAUCCAGGAAGUAGCCGUAAUUUUUUUGUUUCCGGAACGAAAACAUUGCUGUGUGUAGCAUACCGUCUAUGGUGUGACCUGUGAUUUCUCAAGAGGUUGACUGAACACUGCAAUUUACUAUAACAUAAGUAAGUGUUUAGCAUUGACAUAGCGCCAAGGACAUGUGCGAUACCGCCGCCUUUCAUGCUCAGCUAGCCUCCAUCAUUGAGGUUUUGGCGAAUGCAGCAGUUGCCGAAAUCUGCAAACUUGUAGAUGACGGCCAUGUUGCCUUACGUUUGGAAAUUUCCAAUAGCCAGAAAGAAAUCGAUAACCUGCGGAAGAAACUGCUUUUGACAAAAUACCAGAGUUCUCAACGGAGCGCAGAGAGAUUCGGAGCCCUGCGACGCACAGUUCACAGGCGCGACACCGAUCUGGUUUCCCAUGCAAGAGAGCGCUUCGUUGGAAAGUCAUCAGGCAGACUUGGCUAUUUGGAGAAUCGUUUUGCCGACAGUGAAGGGGGCAACUUUAUGCAGGAUGUCACCAACUGGAGAGACUCAAGACGCACAGCGACAGACCAGGAUGGGGGCAUGCAGAUGGCAGAUAUGCAAGAGGAAACUCUUGUCAAAAUGGAGAACCUUGACACCAGUAGAACAGAAGAGAUUGUCCAACCGGUCAGUGAGAGCAGUGAGAAGAUUGUUGUGGCAGAACCAGGUGCUUCGUCAUCUACUGAAACCACAGACCUUCUGGACCAGCAGGGCAACAGACACAGAGCUCCAGACACCACACUCAAUAUAGAACCUGAAAAUCAGACGAUCCAGCAUCCAGCGUCACCAUACAACAGAGCAACACAGGACCAUCAGGGUGCUGAGUGUGUGACCUGGGAAACCGACCAUCAACCCAUAGCAUACAGCCUGUCCCAAUGGACAGAGAAGCAAGAGACUGACAACCGAACUGUGAAUGCUCCUCACAAUGCAGGGCCAGACUCCAAGAGGCUGUCUGAACAUCCAGAGAGGAGAGGGGCACCUGGUAACUCUGGGGUCUGCAUGUCUGCUUUGGGCUCUCUGGACUGGCUGCCUGAUGUGGUGCUGGUGGACUCGGUUCCUAUUAAAGUGGAGGCAGAUAUGAGUUCAGAAUGGAGCAUAACGGGUCAAGAGGUGACAUCUGGAGAGGUCUGUUCAGAGGGCAGGCAGCUUGUGGACAACAGAGGAAGAGGGGGAAUGGAGUCUGGACAGACAAAGUGUCCCACUGACACUCAAAACACAGAGCAAGGGACAACUGUAGGAUCAAGGUCCAAGUUGCCAGAUUUCAACGGACUGUCCACCCCAAACAGCUUUUCAUCCCCAAGGGUUACUCUCCAACAGGUUCCCCAAAGAGGGAAGCAAGCACCCUUUCCGAAUGUCAACAGAGGCUCCACUUCUUCAUCAAAAGGCGUAGAAAAGCAGCCGCAACAGCUGACGUCUCACUCCACCAAGAGGCAGCUCCGGUGCACUCUCUGCGGAAAGCCCUUCCCCCAGCCGGCGCAACUGCGGAGUCACAUGCGGGUCCAUACGGGGGAGAAACCGUACGGCUGCAGCCACUGCACCAAGCGCUUCUCCCACAGCCACCAGCUGAAGAUGCACGAGAGGGUGCACACUGGAGAGAAACCAUUUCACUGUGUCUACUGCGGGAAGUGCUUCACCCAGUCCAGUCAUAUGAAGAGGCACCUCCUCGUCCACACUGGCGGCAGGCCACAGGACGUUGGGCUGCCCUAAGUGUUCCAGGGUGAUGAUUCCCCUAGGUACAGAUCCUCUUCCCCAAUCCUAACCUUACUCCGCCCGGUGUAAUUAUAGGCAGGGCCAGGAGUUUUUCCUCACCAAAUGACCAGAACAGGGAAAAACUCCUUGCCUUAGUUUUAAGGGGAAUGGGUCCACAUUACUGGGGUUUUCAUAUGAAUACUGGGUCCAUGUGUUUUUAACAGUUUGGAUUGUUUCCACGUUGUAGUGUGUAGUGGUUGUGUAUUAGUUCAUCUGGCUUGAUGCUUGGCCCAGAGUGGAUUGAUAAUGUUUAAGUUAUUACAGGUGAAGAUUUUAAACAGCCUCAUGAAUUUGUAUUGGUGCAGUGGUGAACCAAAGAACAGUAAUUAAGAAUUCAGGAAGCUCUGGACAGGUGCCUGGUGAGCAAGGCCUGUUGGUGGUCGAGAGAUCGUUGCUCGGCUCAUCUCGUACCUGGACACAGAGAAGAGGAGGAUGAAGGUUCAGAGAAGAGGAGGAAGGUUCAGGGAAGAGGAGGAUGAAGGUUCAGGGAAGAGGAGGAGGAAGGCGCAUGGAAGAGCGCAACGAUGACUGUCACUUUCUGGACAUUGACAUGGCAGAAGAGCAAAGCCACAGGUUCCCAGGGCGCCACCGCACUCCUGGCCCUUGAAACAGACCUGGCGACCCAUUAGUUGCAAGGCGAGAGGGCUGACCUGGAAUGAAUCCCCACAGGUACCAUGGUCUGGGAAAACCUCAUCUCCUGGAGCUUCCUCUGGAGUAGCUGGUGUGGAUCUUCCAGGACGUGCUGUGUGUGGCCAGGAAGAGAGGCUACUGGAACCUGUCUCUGGUCUGCAGAACCUUGUGCGCCAUCCUUAGAAAUGAAAUCAACAGGAAGUACUCCAUAGUGAAGAGAUCCGAUUCUGAGCUAGUCUGGGACUCACACCAAAUUCUUCCGCUGCUCUGUCGUUCGCCACAUACUUUAGUCUGAGACUGCCAUCAUUGAAGUCGUUUGUGGUGGUGAGGGAUACGAGGGGUAUUGUACAAAAUAGUCAUCAGCGACUGGAUCAUCUUUAACCAAUCAGAUUAUCCAAGCCAAUGACGAAUUUUCAAACCGCAGCUUUAAUCACGUGUGUUUUGGCUCUGGCCCAACCCACCGUUUUCUAGACCAAUCAGACGGCCCCGAAUGUGUUCGCAUUCGGUGAAGGGUCAGAGAGGUACUCUGAUCCAGACUCAUUGUCGAGAAGAAACGUCUGUGGGCGUGGCUUAGGGUUUGGCCGGAGCAAGGAGUCUGGGUAGCCAGGCAAAUCAUGAGCCCCAGUAGUAUCUGAAAGGAGGAGAAGCCAGUACAUUGUGGUUACUGUGAAUGAUGACAUAAACCAUUAUAUACUUGCUGCAUGAUUGCUGCACUGCAUACAUCCGCAACAUUGACCACUUUUCCAGCACUUUAGACAAAAACGUAUAGGGCAUGACAUCUUGGUCUACGUCAUUGGUAUUCAAAUCUGGAAGCAGAACAUAAUUAUCUACUAACAGUCAAAAGUUACAGCUGUUUGAGUUUAGAGUGACGAAAAGCAGCUAGCUACCAUCAGCUAACAGCUCCCUCAAGUCUAGUUGUUGUGCAGCCUAAACGGGGCUGUUGCUAUGGAUACCAAUGCAUUUCAAUGACAAUAAAAGGGGCCAUAGACUAGAACGGUAAUAAUAAAGAAAAAAAAUCUAGACCUAAAGUAUCUCCUCUUUCACCAUUUAAGAUGUCAACUCCAAACCAACGUUGAGAUGUUCAGACACCCUACUUAGAUUGCUUGUCAAAAUAUUUUGAUACUACAUAUACUUUUUGAACUAUAACCAAUAAAAAUGUGCAUAAAUUAACAUGAGUUUGAAUGAGAACCAUAGAAAUACAGAGGUAGCUAUUCAAAAUGGUCUUGCACCUUGGCAAAUUAAGCUACAAGACCAACUUUAAAACAUUCAGGCUAUCCUAACUUCAAAUUAUUUAAUCUUAAUCCAUAAUCUUCUUUAAAACUGUUAUCGACUAACUAUAAGCAUUUGCAUAAAAUAACUCUGCAACAGCAACUCUUGAACCGUUCAAGCUAGAGACACCAAACCAACUUUCACAUGUUCAGGCCAUCCUAUCUUCAAAUCUUUAAAACAUUGAUCAACUAUAACUAUAUGAAUGUGCAUACAUGAGCAUAACAAUCAAAGUUACAGCUCUAUGUCGGAGUUUAGAGGGACGAAAAGUAGCUGGCUAACGCAAGCUAACAGCUCUCUCGUGUCUCGUCAUUGAGCAGCCCAAAUGUAGCCAUUGCUAUGGGUACUCACACACGCAGAGGAGCGCAUGGGGCAGCGCAGGAAGCAAGUGACGGACCGAGAUCAGCUAUUGAUACUAACGGAGGAAGUUACUGUGUUUCUAAUUUCGGGUUGAGCAAUCGGGCGCGGGUAGGUUAGGGCCUGAACGUCACCGGCAUGGGUAGGGCUCGGCCUAAAAUGUCAUGCCUUUCUGCUUUACUUUUCAUUCAAACCUCUGACCACUUACCCAACAGGUGAGACAGAAACUUAGUGGAUGACAUCUUCCUCUACUUCACUGUUAUUCAAGCUGAAAUGGUGAUCACGGUUAGCCUAAAUCGUUUAUUUAUUAGAUAGAACUACAGCUAGCUAUCAGUUGGUCUACAUACGAACCGAUUAUACAUAGUUCAACUACCACAAAAAUACUUUUAAAGAGCUGUCAUCACUGAAACCUCCAGCAUGGAUGAUUGAGUUGCUUUGCUUUCCUAAGAGUGUUGAUCCACAUGAUCCUGCCUUUUGUUCCCAUCUUCUGACAGAUCUCUUUGUCCAUAAUCUUUCUUCUUUUAGUUUUCACCCUCAACUGUAGUUUAGACAUGUUUGUGAUCUAACUGCCCCACAAUGCUAAGCAAUAAGGUUGAUAUAGUAGUCUAUCAAAGUAAUCAGACCAAUUGUUUUACUAAAUGUAACUUUGACUACAGUGCAUUCGGAAGGUAUUAAGACCCCUUCCCUUUUUCCACAUUUGUUACGCUACAGCCUUAUUCUAA